UGCACCUGGAGCUCCACCUUACUCUGAGCUCCCACUGGCUUUUGAAAUUCCACCUCAUACUGAGCUCUCUACCAAGAGGUAAUAUCCUGCAUACCUCUUUCUCUUCAAUAUAGCCCCACUACCAUGCAAAACCUUCAGGAUUCUAUCAUCAGCUCUCCACUUGCAGCUGCUCGAAUCCAGUCUGCUCAGUAAAAUUAAAUUAUUUAUGAAAUUGGGUAUGUAUCAGAUCUCGUCCAAUUUCUUCACUGCUCCAUCAUGAGCCUAUAAGUUGACAAUUCCAAUAUCCUUGAUCGCACAGCUCGAUCCAUCCGAUGGAUGAAUAGUAUCCGCACUGCUCUCUAGAGAGUCAAAUAGCUCUACUCUGCAACAAAUAUGAUACAAAUAUGUAGAAUCUAAAAUCCAUAAUGAAAAAGAAGUAGAUACCUUAUCAGUCACUAGGAAAACAUCAUUAAUUUCUUUUGUAUCGCUAAUUUGGACCACCAUCGCCAUAAUAGUCUUCAUUCGAUCUUUGAGUUGUGGGUAAUCUCAGACUCGAUGCUCCAACUCAUCGUACUGAUAUAUUUGAUCUUGCUGUAGUUCUUUGACUUAGACUUGGACCUGGACCGCCCACCAUGUGAUUCUCUGCCCUUUCUUUUUCUGCCACCACCAUCUCCAAUCACUACCAUAGCUGAGUCGCCACCUGAACUCGAAGUUCGGUUCUUUUAUUUGAAAAUUUUAUUCUAUAAAAAUACAGAAGUGACCUCAUCCAUCUUAAUGGAGCUCUUCCCCAUAAGAAGAGCAAUCACCAAA
rnacentral:lncRNA from 1 species